CUGACCUCAAAUCAGGUAGGACUACCCGCUGAACUUAAGCAUAUCAAUAAGCGGAGGGAAAAGAAACUAACAAGGAUUCCCCUAGUAACUGCGAGU
rnacentral:rRNA from 1 species